rnacentral:rRNA from 1 species
AACGCGAAGAACCUUACCUGGGCUUGAACCGCACAGGACCAUCUUUGGAAACAGAGACUUCCCGCAAGGGACCUGUGUAGAGGUGCUGCAUGGCUGUCGUCAGCUCGUGCCGUGAGGUGUUGGGUUAAGUCCCGCAACGAGCGCAACCCUUACUCAUAGUUGCUACCCGCAAGGGAGAACUCUAUGAGGACUGCUCCGGAUAACGGAGAGGAAGGUGGGGAUGAGGUCAAGUCAGCAUGGCCUUUAUGUCCAGGGCUACACACGUGUUACAAUGCGCGCUACAGAGCGUUGCAAACCCGCGAGGGGGAGCUAAUCGCCAAAAACCGUCCUCAGUUCGGAUUGCAGGCUGCAACUCGCCUGCAUGAAGCUGGAAUCGCUAGUAAUGCUAUAUCAGAACGAUAGCGUGAAUACGUUCCCGGGCCUUGUACACACCGCACGA